UACGUAGGUGACCAGCGUUGUCCGGAUUUACUGGGCGUAAAGAGCGCGCAGGCGGUCGUUCAAGUCGAGUGUGAAAGCCCCCGGCUCAACUGGGGAGGGUCACUCGAUACUGAUCGACUUGAAGGCAGGAGAGGGAAGCGGAAUUCCCGGUGUAGUGGUGAAAUGCGUAGAUAUCCGGAGGAACACCAGUGGCGAAAGCGGCCACCUGGACUGUACCUGACGCUCAAACACGAAAGCUAGGGGAGCGAACGGG
rnacentral:rRNA from 1 species